GAGCAUAUUAGUGUUGCUAGCAAGCAACAACAAAAGUUUACGCACACGGCUGGAUCGAAGAGUUUUGCUUGUAUAGCUCAUGAGGAGGAAAAUACAUUCAGUUCUAAAGUUGGUCGAAUCCAACUCUUCGACAUAACACAUACGAAGAAUGAUGGCACUCUUAUGACUGCUGACGCUGCAGAAAUUAUGGAAAAAUUGAGGGAGAAAAAGGCGGAGUAUCAUGUUA